rnacentral:lncRNA from 1 species
CGACGUUAUACAAAUCUGAGAAGAGGGAUGAGAUGGUGAAAGAGGGAUAUAGGAUUAGAGGCAAUUCAGGUGAUCAGUGGAGUGAUUUGUUGGGUUCCUCCAUGUCUCAACGAUCUUUCAAACUUGCAAAUCCAAUGUAUUACAUUCCCUGAAGAGUGAAGACAAGGGAGCUUUAUUUGAAUAACUUGCCUUCAAACACAUUUUCUUAAAUCGUAUAUACUUUUACCAGAGAGUAAUCAAAACUGUUAUUAAAGGUCGAUUGCCUCCGCUUGUAAAUUGUAAGCAAUUUAAAUUUAUCAAUGAAUGAGAAUGCUUUGUUUUCAGUAACUUGUUUCACUUGUUUCAUUGUUCCAAGGAGAAACCGUCAAGUUAGGUUUGUGUAUGUAUUUCUAAUCUUGAAUUAUUUGAUAAAAGCAACACCCUUCUUACUCUGAUGUUUCCUCUUUCUGGUGUACUCCAAGCUUGGCCUUAGCCAUAAUCAUUGAGGUAUAUGCAUUUCCCUUAAUUUUCUAGAUUUCCUAGGUUUGUUUCGUCCUUGAUACCAAAUGUGUUGCUGGUUGCCCAAAAUGUAGAACCAAAGAGAGAGAACAGAGAAGCCAUAAUUUUUUUCAGGUGUUAAUUAACUGAAGAAAGGUUAAUAUACAUAUCUAUGAGCCUUAUUAUUUAGAUUUUAGAUAAUGGUAUGGGAUUAUGAAAGAUGGAAAGCAGCUAUUAGAACUCUUGAAAACUUUUGGGUAUAUAUUCCAAAGAUUGCUAUACUGUGCUGAUGCAUAAUGAAUUAAUGAUAUUAUUGAUAUGAUCCGUUUAAAUUCCAAUCUCUGAAGGCACAUGGAUAUUAUGCCUCUUCUUUCUUUACGCAAUACUAAUGUUUUUUUUUCUAUUAGACUAUUAACAUCACAACCUCGAUACAUAUAUUGACUUCACCCUUCUCUUUUUGUAUGAAAUGGAAAAAUAGGUAUUUGUAAUUAUGACUUUCUGUUUAUAUUCCAAACAUUCUCCAACAAUCAAGUUUUGAUCUAGAUGUAUGUUCAUUUAUGGCAUAUAAAUGUGAUGAACAAGGAUAUCACGGGAGAAAAAAAACCUUGAAAAAAAAAGAGAGCUAGACGCUUUUUUUUCUUUUGAGUUUUAUGUUGAUUUUCUGAGUCAUCUGUCAAUCAAUUGUAGGGUACUUAAAACUUCUCAUAAGGUGUCAACUGGUGAAACUAAUAUUCUGUAUCAAGAAGAUUCUCGUUGUCGCUUCAUGUGAUUGAUAUCUCAAGCACGCUUCUUUAGCAUUAUGUAGAUUUGGAUGAUCGCUGAUGAUUUCUUUUUUCAUUUUUUGUGUUCAUUUUUAAACGGUGCCACGGGUAAGAGACGUAAAUAUGAGUCUGUCUCUAGUCAACAUAUGUCGUUGUUACCAUGAUAGUAUUGUUAAAUUUUGAAUCUCAUGGGUGCAUGUGGGGUGAUUCGGGUUAUGUUAGGUAUGUUUAAUCUUAGCAACGGUUAAAAUGAAUGUCAAUGAAGACCAGUGAUCCGACGGUGGUAAGUAUUCCCGCCUGUCACGCGGGUGACUCGGGUUCGAUCUCGAGCAAACGGUGCCAAUUGAUAACUAAGACUUUUUAGGUCUUGUGCAAGGGUUAUCAAUCCCUUUUUAUUGUAAUAAUGAAGAGGUAUCAAUCCAUACUUGUGGUUAGACACUAGUUUAAGAUGCUUUGUAUCUUAAGUCAAGCGUAAUCAAUAAAUGGGUUUUGGUGUCUAAACCACUUAAAGUGCAAGCAAAUGAACAAAAACAAAAAACAAGAGACUUAAACUAAAGCAGAAGCAAAUAAACAAACAAGUAAGCAAGAUAGAUAAUCAAAUGAUGAUAUAAGCUGAUGAAGUAGAGAUCUUAGACAAGAUAAAAGACUUGGGUGCUUCCAUAUUAAACUAGUGAGUUAAUAAACCAAAUGAUUAAGCAACUUCAUUUAACAUGAACUCAAUAUCAAGAUAAUCCUCUCAUGAAGGUAUUAAACUUCUAUACUAAUCAUCUUUUAUACUAAAAUCCCUUUUGAGAAGCAUGAAUCAGCAAACAUUAAAAAUCGGUUCAAUGAGUCAAUUAAGAGAAGCAAGCUAUCAUUAUCAUGAUGAAAGACCCUUAAACCUCUACUAAACCUGGUUCAGGUAUUUCAGCGAACACUUCUCAGGCGUGAAAAUACCUCAGAUCUAGACCACAUGUGAUGUUCAUGGAUCCAGCAUAGAGAUUUGUUUAGUAGAAAAUAAAUGAUGCAGAUCUAGAACCUAAACUCGCUUAUCAAGCAUUUCAGCACCCUAAUCUAUCUAUCUAAAACCUCAUAAUGGAACUACUCACUAAUUAUGAAGAGCACACUUAAUCCUUUGCAAGAUGUGAUGCUAGACAUGAUUAAAAGCUUUAAUGAUGAUGAAAAGAAAUAAAAGAGAACAAGAUCCUUUACGUAAAAACGAGAUAUCUUAUCUCUUAUCAUGUUUUCUCUUAGAGACUUGCCUCUUUUGUGAAAACUUGUUUGACUUCUUAUGUAUUAUGUGUUCAUUUUUAGUGCAAGAGUGGUGUGAAAUAAUGAUGAUAUGAUAUGAUCUAUAUAUCUAUACAAUGAAACUAAUCAAAAAUUUAAUGUUUAUUUAUUUGUUUAUGUUUAUUAUCAAUGGAGCUUUGUAGAUUUAGUCCCUUGAUUAAAGAUUUCAUAGUUUAAUGACACUUCAAAAAUGAUCAAACUGGAUAAAGAAGAAUAGAUAGGGAAAACAAAAAUCUCUAACAGGACAAAUUAAACAAAUAAUAAUUACACAGAAGAUUAAAUCCUUCAUAGCUCAUCGGCUUUUAUCUCGACUGUCGAUUAUAUGGGCAGAGAUAACGAUUACAAAACAAAUCAACAGAACUCUUUAAAUCACAAAGCCCCAAAUUUUCUUAAUAAAUAUUUGUUAUUUUUAUCGCUCUUAAUUAAGUAUCUAAGCAGUGGAAGAUUAAUCAUCACUCAUUUUGAACACUAUUUUCUUGUAUACUUGGAGUACAAUGGUAUCCUAUUAGUAAUGAAAACUUUUGUUUUUGUUCACCCAACUCCCACCCCUCCAACUUGGCUCUGUUUUGUGAUAUUUAUUUUCUGGAUCAUGUAGAUUCUUGCUGUCAUUGGUUUGAUUUUUUGUCAUUUGUUAAAUCAUGUUAUAGAUGUGAAGGAGUGAAGGGAAUUUCAAGCUUAUGAUGUGAUGGAAGCUACUACAUAUAUCAAUUAACAUAGAUCAUGUAGACUUUGAUGAUCGCUGAUGAAGCUAAUGAAGAAAUUUUAUGCAAUUUGAUUAAAUGCAUUAAACCACUCACUUAGUUUAACUUGUUAAAAAUUGGAUAACUGUUGGUGGUGUACUUCGCACCCUCGGUUUAAUCCGGUAUUAAUCGAGACCGGUCUGGAGAGACCUUGGUUUACGAAUAUUAGAAUUGAGGUUAUAUCGGGUGGACCGACAUACGACUUUCUAGAAGGUCCAUUAAACCCCAGUUUACGAAACUGACCGACCUUUCCGAAUUUUACGGAAGAUUUCCGGAAAUAUUGAGGAAGAAAAAUGUUAAAUCCCAUAUCGAGAAAGAAAAGGAAAGUUCUUCUCAAACCGCCUUAGAAUUUGUAUAAAUAGGGAAGGACUUCAUUAAUUCGAGGCAUCCGCAAAUCAAGAGCAGAGAGACCUUUGAAGAACUUUGAGAUCGUCAAGUUUAUUUCGAGUUUUCCCUUUGUUAACGAGGUCGUCGACCUUAACUCAAGUUGUAUUUUUCCGAACUAUCUUAUAAUAAAACGAGACUUUUGAUUUGAAUAUUACCUCUUUUGUUUUAAAUGAGUUCGGCGAAAUUCAUGGACCUUUUAGCUCGGUUUGAAUUGAGACCGGAGAUAACUUGAUGGGAAAAAUCUUUUGUCGCUCUAUUCUUGUGCCACUUGGCACAGUUCCAUCUUUAGAUCGUUUUCUUGUACGGACUUCAAUUAGUACAGGCUUUCUAAUGGGCCUCAAUCCUUUAUAAAUACUCCUCUUCACUUUCACUUCUUCACUUCUUCUCCACCACUUAAGGUAUAAAGCUCUACUUUCUCUCUAGAACUUUCUCUCUCUACCUUUUUUUUAGUUCAUCUUUCUUUUAUAUAUAUAUUUUCUCUCUUGCUCUUCGCAAAAAGAAUGAACUGCUCAUAUAAUUAAGUUCGGUCAACUCAACUAUGUGAACCAAACUUUAAUUGAGUUCGGUUUAAUUUGGGUGACCAUCCUCCUUCUUUAUUUCUUCCACCUCUCCUUAAUUAUGCUGCGACCACUAUUGACAAUAUUUUUUUCCCCUUUCUUUUUUAUUUCUAGAGCUGGGCUUGAAUCAAUUCUCAUUGAGCCCAUUAAACUCCACCGACACCUUUUUUUAAUUAUGCUGCACUUACUCACCAUCCUUCUCCUCCUUUAUUCCUUCCUUCUUUCUUUAAAAUAAUAAAUCCAACUCCCUUCUUCCUCAAUAAUGGUGAUCUUCCUCCUUUUUAAAUAGUGUCGACCUUUUUUUUUUUUUUAAAUUAUGCUAAGUUUCUUUUUUAAUUAAGUGAGUUCGACCUCCUUCACAUCGACCUUCGCCCCUAUUAGCUGAUCUAUUCCAAGUGUUGUCUUAAUUUUCGAGAUCUACUCUUUAUUUGCCGAAACAAGCUUCUCCUUCUUUUAAGCCAACCUGCACUUCUUGAAGCUCACCCAGAUCUGCACUGCUUCUCUUCACCGACCUUCUCGAUUUGAGUUCAGAUUUUUCCGACUGAACUACCUACUUCGACAUUGUGCACCUCGUCAACAUCGUCGGCAGGCUGAGAUGGGCUGACCUCCUCAUAUAUCGAGGAAGAACUAGAAGAGGACGGUGAAUCAGACGAAUCAAGAGCAGAAGAAGCCACACGUUUUCCUUUCGGAUCGUUCUGGCUCGGCGAGGAUUGAGAAGAGUUGGAGGAGCUAGAUGAGGUCGGAUCGGAUGGAGCGGGUGCAGGAGAAGCCACUCGUUUUUCUGUAGGAUCACUCUGGCUCGGCGAAAAAUCAGGUGGGCUGGAAGAGCUUGUAGAAUCUGACGAACUGGAAGAACUGGUAGAAUCGGUCAAGUUUGGAGGCAUCUGUGAGAUUCGGUGAACGAAGUUUAAAAGACACAUCAGGAAUAAGGAAGAUAUGUGAGAGUUCGGUAUAAGUAGAAGCAAGGUCGACAAGGAAAUAGAGACCAUAAAUUGGUGAAGAAGAGAUUUCUAAAAAUACGAACAACUUUACUUGGAAAACGAAAGGAAACAAGGAGAAUAUUACGGCCAGCUUUUGGAGAGAAAAGAAGAAGUUUUGAAACCAAAAUAAGUUGGUCGGCUGUGACGAUGAAGCUCGGUUCCACUAACUAAAAGGAGAUCACACAGGUCUGCGUUUUAAUAAAAUUAUUUAUUAAACUAAGAAUUAAAGAAGGUCGGUGAGCAUUACCUCGUCAAGAGGAGAUCGGCUGUUAAGAGUCUGGAGGUUGGCGAAGAGAGCAGUCCGGCGGGAAAAACCUGAACUCAAAUCGAGAAGGUCGGUGAAGAGAAGCAGUGCAGAUCUGGGUAAAUUUCAAGAAGUGCAGGUUAGCUUAAAAGAAGGAGAAGCUUGUUUUGGCAAAUAAAGAGUAGAAAAUUAAGGCAGCACUUGGAAUAGAUCGGCUAAUAGGGGCGAAAGUCGAUGUGAAGGAGGUCGAACUCACUUAAUUAAAAAAGAAGCUUGGCAUAAUUAAAAAAAAAAGGUCGACAUUAUUUAAAAAGGAAGAAGAUCGCCAUUAUUGAGGAAGAAGGGAGCUGGAUUUAUUAUUUUAAAGAAAGAAGGAAGGAAUAAAGGAGGAGAAGGAUGAUGAGUAAGUGCAGCAUAAUUAAAAAAGGUGUUGAUGGAGUUUAAUGGGCCCAAUGAGAAUUGAUUUAAGCCCAGCUCUAGAAAUAAAAAAGAAAGGGGAAAAGAGAUAUUGUCAAAAGUGGUCGCAUCAUAAUUAAGGAGAGGUGGAAGAAAUAAAGAAGAAGGAUGGUCGUCCAAAUUAAACCGAACUCAACUAAAGUUUGGUUCACAUAGUUGAGUUGACCGAACUUAAUUAUAGGAGCAGUUCGUUCUUUUUGCGAAGAGAGAAAGUUCUAGAGAGAAGGUAGAACUUUAUACCUUAAGUGGUGGAGAAAAAGUGAAGAAGUGAGAGUGAAGAGGAGUAUUUAUAAAGGACUGGAGAGACCUUGGUUUACGAAGAUUAGAAUCGAGGUUAAAUCGGGUGGGCCGACAUAUGACUUUCUAGAAGGUCCAUUAAAGCCCAGUUUACGAAACUAGCCGACCUUUUCGAAUUUCACGGAGGAUUUCUGGAAAUAUCAAGGAAGAAAAAUGUUAAAUCCCAUAUCGAGAAGGAAAAGGAAAUUUCUUCUCAAACCGCCUUAGAAUUCGUAUAAAUAGAGGAGGACUUCAUUCAUUCGAGGCAUCCGCAAAUCAAGAGCAGAAAGAGACCUUUGAAGAACUUUGAGAUCGUCAAGUUUAUUUCGAAUUCUUCCUUUGUUAACAAGGUCGUCGAAACUAUGACUAUUUUAACUCAAAUUGUAUUUUUCCGAUCUAUCUUCUAAUAAAACGAAACUUUUAAUUCGAAUAUUACUGUUUUACCUCUUAGUGUGAUAUUAUAUAUCAACAAUAACCAAUCACACUAAGUUAAAAUUGUAUUUUUCCAAUCUAUCUUU